GUGUUCCUCUAGGGAGCACAUAUACUAAAUUGGAAUAAUAUAGAGAAGAUUAGCAUGACCCCUGUGCAAAGGUAACACACAAAUUUAUGAAAUAGUACAUUAAAAA
ensembl:snRNA U6 U6 spliceosomal RNA